rnacentral:rRNA from 1 species
GAUGAACGCUAGCUACAGGCUUAACACAUGCAAGUCGAGGGGCAGCAUGGGCUUAGCUUGCUAAGGCCGAUGGCGACCGGCGCACGGGUGAGUAACACGUAUCCAACCUGCCGUCUACUCUUGGACAGCCUUCUGAAAGGAAGAUUAAUACAAGAUGGCAUCAUGAGUCCACAUGUUCACAUGAUUAAAGGUAUUCCGGUAGACGAUGGGGAUGCGUUCCAUUAGAUAGUAGGCGGGGUAACGGCCCACCUAGUCUUCGAUGGAUAGGGGUUCUGAGAGGAAGGUCCCCCACAUUGGAACUGAGACACGGUCCAAACUCCUACGGGAGGCAGCAGUGAGGAAUAUUGGUCAAUGGGCGAGAGCCUGAACCAGCCAAGUAGCGUGAAGGAUGACUGCCCUAUGGGUUGUAAACUUCUUUUAUAAAGGAAUAAAGUCGGGUAUGGAUACCCGUUUGCAUGUACUUUAUGAAUAAGGAUCGGCUAACUCCGUGCCAGCAGCCGCGGUAAUACGGAGGAUCCGAGCGUUAUCCGGAUUUAUUGGGUUUAAAGGGAGCGUAGAUGGAUGUUUAAGUCAGUUGUGAAAGUUUGCGGCUCAACCGUAAAAUUGCAGUUGAUACUGGAUAUCUUGAGUGCAGUUGAGGCAGGCGGAAUUCGUGGUGUAGCGGUGAAAUGCUUAGAUAUCACGAAGAACUCCGAUUGCGAAGGCAGCCUGCUAAGCUGCAACUGACAUUGAGGCUCGAAAGUGUGGGUAUCAAACAGGAUUAGAUACCCUGGUAGUCCACACGGUAAACGAUGAAUACUCGCUGUUUGCGAUAUACAGCAAGCGGCCAAGCGAAAGCGUUAAGUAUUCCACCUGGGGAGUACGCCGGCAACGGUGAAACUCAAAGGAAUUGACGGGGGCCCGCACAAGCGGAGGAACAUGUGGUUUAAUUCGAUGAUACGCGAGGAACCUUACCCGGGCUUAAAUUGCAGAUGAAUUACGGUGAAAGCCGUAAGCCGCAAGGCAUCUGUGAAGGUGCUGCAUGGUUGUCGUCAGCUCGUGCCGUGAGGUGUCGGCUUAAGUGCCAUAACGAGCGCAACCCUUGUUGUCAGUUACUAACAGGUUCCGCUGAGGACUCUGACAAGACUGCCAUCGUAAGAUGUGAGGAAGGUGGGGAUGACGUCAAAUCAGCACGGCCCUUACGUCCGGGGCUACACACGUGUUACAAUGGGGGGUACAGAGGGCCGCUACCACGCGAGUGGAUGCCAAUCCCAAAAACCUCUCUCAGUUCGGACUGGAGUCUGCAACCCGACUCCACGAAGCUGGAUUCGCUAGUAAUCGCGCAUCAGCCACGGCGCGGUGAAUACGUUCCCGGGCCU